GUCACUGUAGCUCAGUUGGUUAGAGCGCGGGAUUCAUAUCCCCGAGGUCGGUGGUUCAAAUCCACCUAGUGACACCA
rnacentral:tRNA from 1 species